ensembl:lncRNA
ACACACCACACACCACUGUGAACGUAACACACCACACUGUGAACGUAACACACCACACCACACCGUGAACGUAACACACCACAACAUGAACGUAACACACCACAACAUGAACGUACCACACCACACCGUGAAGGUAACACACCACACCACACCGUCAUGUGACGUCUAUUAUAGUAAAAUCACAAUCCAGGUCUGGCUAUGAUGAGUCUUGAUCUUGGCUUCAACUUUUUUUUUACCAGUAGUAAAGAGCAACGAACGCUCAAUCAGCCCUCUAACCUCACAAAUAUCAUUUAUGGAGGUCAAAGGUUACCACAUUCCAAUUCUCUACCCUUCUCCCUGAGGUGUGCACUUGUACACUUCCCUUUAUGGAUUUAAAAUUAUUGGACUGGUGUCAGAAAUAUGAUGGAAAUGGGAACUCCCCUCCAGUCAUACUUGUACCGAUCCAAUGGUUUUGAGUUCUGGAGAAGGGUGGAACAUCGGAACGCAGCCACAGGGUUCAACUGCACCUCAGAGACUCCUGCCUUAUGUACGGUACAGAGUCAUGGAACCACUUUAAUAACGGUUACAUACUGUUUUACCUACUUCAUGUCUAUAUACUGUAUUCUAGUCAUGGUUCAUUCUAUAUAACUACUGCUGUACACACUUUCUAAUUCAUAUACUGUCUAUACACACCAUCCUAUUAUAACUACUGUCUAUACACACCAUCCUAUAUAUAACUACUGUCUAUACACACCAUCCUAUAUAUAACUACUGUCUAUACACACCAUCCUAUAUAUAACUACUGUCUAUACUGUCUAUACACACCAUCCUAUAUAACUACUGUCUAUACUGUCUAUACACACCAUCCUAUAUAACUACUGUCUAUGCACACCAUCCUAUAUAACUACUGUCUAUACACACCAUCCUAUAUAACUACUGUCUAUACACACCAUCCUAU